rnacentral:rRNA from 1 species
UUCGAUCCUGGCUCAGAUUGAACGCUGGCGGGAUGCUUUACACAUGCAAGUCGAACGGCAGCACGGACUUCGGUCUGGUGGCGAGUGGCGAACGGGUGAGGUACGUAUCGGAACGUGCCUAGUAGCGGGGGAUAACUACGCGAAAGCGUAGCUAAUAUCGUGUAUACGCCCUUCGGGGGAAAGCGGGGGACCUUCGGGCCUCGACCAUUAGGAGCGGCUGAUAUCGGAUUAGCUAGUUGGUGGGGCAACGGCUCAACAAGGCGACGAUCCGUAGCUGGUUUGAGACGACCAGCCACACUUGACUAUGACACGCCCAGACUCCUACGGAGGCAGCAGUGGGGAAUUUUGGACAAUGGGAAAUCCUGAUCCAGCCAUCUCAUGCGUGUGCGAUGAAGGCCUUCGGGUUGUAAAGCACUUUUGGCAGGAAAGAAACGGCACGGGAUAAUACCCCGUGCAACUGACGUACCUGCAGAAUAAGCACCGGCUAACUACGAACAGCAGCCGCUAACACGCAGGGUGCAGCAAUCGGAAUUACUGGCGUAAAGCGUGCGCAGGCGGCUCCGGAAAGAAAGAUGAAAUCCCAGAGUCAACUUUGGAACUGCAUUUUAAAUUACCGAGCUAGAGUGUGUCAGAGGAGGUAAAUUCCGCGUGUAGCAGUGAAAUGCGUAGAUAUGCGGAGGAACACCGAUGGCGAAGGCAGCCUCCUCGGGAUAACACUGACGCCCGCGCCUGAGCGGGAGCAAACAGGAUUAGAUACCCUGGUAGUCCACGCUCAAAACGAUGUCAACUAGCUGUUGGGGCCUUCGGGCCUGGUAGCGCAGCUAACGCGUGAAGUUGACCGCCUGGGGAGUACGGUCGCAAGAUUAAAACUCAAAGGAAUGACGGGGACCCGCACAAGCGGUGGAUGAUGUGGAUUAAUUCACGAUGUGCAAAUGCGAAAAACCCUACCUACCCUUGAGGCAUGUCUGAAUCCCGAAGAGAUUUGGGAGUGCUCGCAAGAGAACCGAACACAGGUGCUGCAUGGCUGUCGCCAGUCGUGUCGUGGAGAUGUUGGGUUAAGUCCUGCAACGAGCGCAACCUUGUCAUUAGUUGCUACGAAAGGGCACUCUAUCGAGAUCGCCGGUGACAAACCGGAGGAAGGUGGGGAUGACGUCAAGUCCUCAUGGCCCUUAUGGGUAGGGCUUCACACGUCAUACAAUGGUCGGGACAGAGGUCGCCAACCCGGCGAGGGGAGCCGUAAUCCUGAAACCCGAUCGUCCGGAUCGGUCGCAACCGACUGCGCAAGUCGGAAUCGCUAUAAUCGUGGAUCAGUGCCAAGUCGGUGGUGAACAUGUUCCCGGUCUUGUACACACUGCCCGUCACACCAUGGGAGUGGGUUUUACCAGAAGUAGUUAGCCUAACCGUAAGGAGGGCGAUUACCACGGUAGGAUUCAUGACUGGGGUGAAGUCGUAACAAGGUA